rnacentral:rRNA from 1 species
UAAAUAGUUAUGCCAACUUUGGUUGGUAGUCAACUUCUUAGAGGGACUGUCGGCGAUUAGCCGACGGAAGUUUGAGGCGAUAACAGGUCUGUAAUGCCCUUAGAUGUCCUGGGCCGCACGCGCGCUACACUG